GGAUGUUUAGCUCAGCGGUAGAGCGUCUCCUUUACAUGGAGAGGGUCGGGGGUUCAAAUCCCUCAACAUCCACCA
rnacentral:tRNA from 1 species